CCCUGGAUAGCUUAGUUGGUAGAGCGCUCCAGUGGAAAUGGAAAGAUCCCGGGCUCGAUACCCGGACCAGGCG
rnacentral:tRNA from 2 species